rnacentral:rRNA from 1 species
GGGGUUGGAAAGUUUCGGCGGUUGGGGAUGGACUCGCGGCUUAUCAGCUUGUUGGUGGGGGUAGUGGCUUACCCAAGGCUUUGACGGGUAGCCGGCCUGAGAGGGUGACCGGCCACAUUGGGACUGAGAUACGGCCCAGACUCCUACGGGAGGCAGCAGUGGGGAAUAUUGCACAAUGGGCGGAAGCCUGAUGCAGCAACGCCGCGUGCGGGAUGACGGCCUUCGGGUUGUAAACCGCUUUCGCCUGUGACGAAGCGUGAGUGACGGUAAUGGGUAAAGAAGCACCGGCUAACUACGUG